rnacentral:rRNA from 1 species
GCCUAGCCUUAAAACAACAGUUAAAUCACCAACUGUUCGCCUAAUAACUACGAGUAAAAACUUAAAAUUUAAAAGACUUGACGGUACUUCACAUCAACCUAGAGGAGCCUGUCCAAUAACCGAUACCCCACGAUUAACCCUACCUGCCCUAGCCCUACAGUCUAUAUACCGCCGUCGCCAGCUUACCUUAUGAAAGAAACAAAGUGAGCCCAACAACAACACAUUAACACGACAGGUCGAGGUGUAACUAAUGAGCAGGCCAAAGAUGGGCUACAUUUUCUUAAACAGAAAAUACGAAUCAACUAUGAAAUUAGAAACCGAAGGCGGAUUUAGCAGUAAGCUAACAAUAAAAUACUUAGCUAAAACUAUAGCAAUGAAGUGCGUACACACCGCCCGUCAUCCCUGUAAACACUUAAACACAUACAUAAUCUUACUCACCCCAAAACAGGGCAAGUCGUAACACGGUAAGCGUACUGGAAAGUGCGCUUAGAAA